GGGAUUUUCCACUUCUCCGCUAACAGAUGAGCCACUAUCAGUCCUCUUCACAACAGCCGUCUGCACGCUUCCAACUGUAAUCCAGUGCUUCUGAUUUAAUACUGUAAUUACUUCUAACGUUGUGUGGAGGAGAUAAACGGCCAGGACUUGCUCGCCCAGAACAGAGAGAUGGCACAAACAGCAAUCCUGUUAACCACUGGAUGGCCACUGUUCUACUCUCAAGCACCUGACUGUUUACAGCAAAAUUGAACCUUCUCCGAAAACUAAGGAUGGCUAUGAAAUGAAAAACAUUCUUCAAACAAAGAUGAUGGCCGACACCGGGAGGAAUUUCAAGCUUCUGGAGUCUCAGCAAUGGUAUUUUGGUUUCGGCUGAAGACCUUUCUUUUCGACUAC